GCAGAAUAAUAAUCCAUAAUCUCUGGGUGAAGAUGCUACAGAGUUACCACCAUGUUUACUCUGCAUGGCAAGCUAUCAGGUUCAUAGUAAACUAGAGAAAGAGAUCAGUUUUAUAUCCCUAAUCUUGUUUGAACUCAGAUAGUUUCCUUUUUCUCCUUGCCCCUAGUGGGAUAAGGAGAAAGGGCUCAACUGGAAGACAAUAGCUGUGGUUGCAGAAGACAAUGGACUUAACUUCUGAAAAUGAUAUCAGGAGAUUUUUUCCCAAGGACCAUUGAGGAAACAUCCUUGGAAUGGUCAUCAAAGUUUUGCCUUUGACCACUGCAGCAUACUGAGAAUGAUGGGAUGCUGCCGGAAGAAUUCUUCCAGUUGGGGAACAUGCAAGGCAAUAAGCAAAAGAUACGACCUUUGGAGAGAGUCAGCUCUCCUGCAGGCUAUGAAAGAUAUCAAAGCUAAAGUGGCUGAGGUGGAACACGUUGACAGAAUGGUCAAGAAGCUGAAAGCAAGCGUUCAGGACACACAGACAGAACACGAGUCAGAAGCCCAAGAAUUUUUCCAGCCAGGAUGAAAAACUUCUAAUGGAAUCCAGCUUGAAAGCAAGUCAAGAACAGCUAAGUGAGCGAAGAGUAGGAAGAGCUCUCCCAGUUCACUAGAAAAUCACAGAGCUGAAGUCACUGAAAGAAUGCAUUAUAGAUUCUCAUGAAGAAAUUAGUGAUUGAAUGUGAGUUAUUGUUUGUUUUUAUGUUUCAGUAAGGGUGGAAGGGUAGCCAGAAGUCAGCAAUAAUUCUUUUCGCUUUGUGCAGUAGGAUUUGUUUUGUAUUGGUACUGUGCUGGGUAAAUGUCUGACUAAUUUAUUGAUUAAAUGAACUAUUGAGCAAUUGAUAAACUCAUUUUUAAAAUAGCCUUUUCUUUUAUCACUNGAAGUGUGUUAACCAGCAGGCCUUUUAAUGCUCUCUUCUACCCCACCGCCAAUGUAAAAAUCUGGUGUUGAGGAGAAAAUAGUUUUCUUUAUUGUCUAUCUGCCAGUGGCAUUCUCAUCUUUCUCUCUUUUUGGGGGUCUGAAGGUUACAUAUGGCUCUUAUUGUCUGCUUUUUUUGGUUCAAGAAGCUGCCUCAAAGCAAGACGCUCCGAAAUUAAAGCAAACUUUAGGGUUUGAGCUUCUAGUCAGAGUAACAAGUAACAUAUGAAGUUGCUAAAAUGAACUCAAGUACUAAUCUUAAUAGAUAGUCCUCCCCCAUCAAAAAAAGUUAAAACUUUCAGAGAGGUUUCUUUUUUUUUAUGUUUAUGACCAUAAAUUGACUUAUUGUUCUGUUUUCUAACAAAUGUUAUGAACAGUAUCCAUCUCAGCUAAAUCCCCUUGUCUCUUAUAUAAAAAACCUGAACAAUGCAUUCUUGUUGCUAAAUUUAUUAUAUUUUACAUUCAUUUCGGUAACUUCGUCAGACACUUUUUGCAAUAUAAUAAAGUGAGGCUAAACUUCA
rnacentral:lncRNA from 1 species